UACAGAGGGGGCAAGCGUUGUUCGGAAUUACUGGGCGUAAAGGGCGCGUAGGCGGCCUGCUAAGUCGAACGUGAAAUCCCCGGGCUCAACCCGGGAACUGCGUCCGAUACUGGCAGGCUUGAAUCCGGGAGAGGGAUGUGGAAUUCCAGGUGUAGCGGUGAAAUUCGUAGAUAUUAGGAAGAACACCAGUGGCGAAGGCGGCUCACUGGCCCGGUACUGACGCUGAGGCGCGAAAGCGUGGGGAGCAAACAGG
rnacentral:rRNA from 1 species